UCUAAUUAAUUUGGAGGACUUCACCAGGUCAGUUGUCAGUCAAUGGUGACACAAAUUCCGUGCAUUUUAGAACUGAAUUCAGCACACUGUUCAUAAGGUGAUGUGUUUACAUGCCGAAUUAUUGUCCAUUAAGCUAUAUGUAUGUACAUAAAUGCAGAUAGUUAUAAUCAAGUACAAAUAAGAAGCUCUCUGAACUCGACGAAGGACCAUUUUCCAACUCAUCAUUAAAAAAUGUACUGCAUCUGUAGAAGCUAGGGUUCUUGUUGUUGAAGAUGUAACCAUUUCUGGUGAUCCAGAUGCUCCAGGCAACCAACCAAUAUGGCUGGUUCCAUGAAAAAUGGAACAGACUGAGAGUUCUUCUUCAAGCGGGAGACCUUAUCUUUUAAGACUGCCAGUUAACUGAAUAUGAGGGCAUAGCUAGGUCCAGCAACAUUGUGCAAACGGGUAAUCUUGUGCACAACAUGUAGCUUCUGAAUAUGAGGGCAUGGCUAGCUCCAGCAACAACAAGCUCCAGAUGCCAAGUGCCCCUGACUGAGAAUAAAACCUCUUGAAGAAGGAAACGAUUGCAGUCCUACAAUUCGACCUGUGGAAUUACAAUCUUUACAAAUCUACAGGGUUCAGAAGCUUUUAUUAUGUAGAGCAAAAGGGUCGAGUUGUACGCAUACAAAGUGAGUUGGUCCAGCUUCUUCUUCUUUGCACUGCGCGAGUGAACGUGACGAGCAAAAAGACGACAAUGCAUUACCCGAUCUGUGAGAUGAAGCUUAUUAAACUGGGAAAAGAAAAACUAAAAUCUUAGUCUCCCCCAGCACGCGUCUUUCAAAAUUUAGACUGACUGGGUCUUUCAAAAUCUAGAUACAGCUAGCAAGCGUAUGCGCGGUCAGUCCAGACGACCACCAGAUCUGGAUCUCUUCAUUCCCCUUUGGGCUUUGGUCAACGCUUUUGCUUGGUGAGCAUCGUCGACCGGCGGCAGCAGCAGCAGCAGGCCUUGGCGAGUCUCCGUGUCCCCUUCCCUCCUUUCCCCAGCAAGUCAAGGGAGGAAGAAGGGAAGGAAGGAAGUAAGGAGAAGCUGCUAGCGGCCGAAGCCUUAUCGCUUGCUGACACGGAAAUGGGCGGAUGCGAGUUCGAGAGGGCGGAGAUAGAUGCACUGGAGCGCGUUGCAGGUGAUCCAAGCGCGGAGCCGAUAAGCCUGUCGUUUUGGCUUCUCAGGCGCAUAACCAAUGAUUUCUCCGAUGAAUCUUUAAUUGGUAGAGGUGGGUAUGGAGCGGUUUACCUGGGGGUGCUUCCAAAUGGGUUACGUAUUGCUGUCAAGAAGCUUUUCCAAACAUUUGCAACAAUUGAUUCCAGAGCAUUUGAAGACGAACUUUUUACCGCAAGGAGGGUUGGUCAUCACAAGAACAUAGUGCGAACCAUAGGCUACUGUAGUCACACACAAUCUGAAGUCGCCCAAUAGAAUGGGAAAUCUGUUUUCGCAGACACCAAUGAAAGAUUGAUCUGUAUGGAGUAUGUGCCUAAUGGAACCCUUGGUAGACAUAUCACUGAUAAGUUUCAUGGAGGACUUGAUUGGAACCAACGUUAUAAAGUUCUUAAAGGAAUUUGUCAUGGUUUGCAUUAUCUGCACAAUGAAGUGCGCCUUAUUCACGGGGAUAUCAAAGCAGAAAAUAUAUUGCUCAAGGAUAACCUCCUGCCGCAAAUUUUUGACUUUGGUUUGUCCAAGUGCCUUAGUGAUGGAGAAUCUUCAAUUCAUCAAAGAAACAUCUGGGGAACUGCGUAAGCUAACGCCAUAUUUUUAUCGCAAAGUUCUUUUGUAGGCCGAGCUACAUGGUACCUGAUAUCUGGACCCUUGGUUUGCCUCGCGAUGUGUGCGUCUCAGAGCAUCACCAGACAUGCACUUGUUUGAUUAGUUGACAUUAUAAGGAGCUGUCAUGUUCGGUAUAGCUCCUGCAUGCAUGCCCGUGUGGGUCCACCCCAUUCCUGCUGAUAUGUCACUGUUCGCACUGAUGGUUCCUGCCCCACGCACUUACCUCUCUCAGACGGUCACAUCUUGUCAGCCGCUCCUUCUCCUUUCUAUCCACGUAAACCGUGACACCGUUCUAAAGUUUCUGAAUCUGGACAACCAAAAUUACUACACCAAUUCUUACAAGUUUCUAAUAUCCGAAGAUGCUUAGUUUAUCAAAUAAAACUUAAUAACAAAACUGAACCGCAGACACCUUGCUCUAGAGAUGCAGAUUUUAAUUCUCGUUUAACAUGCUACCAAAUUGUGCGUGAAACAUCAAACUUUCCAGAUUGCAAUUGCUUAAUUAUGUACAGUCUUAGUAAAUGCUAAAACCAUGGAUAAAAGAAUCAUCACAAGAUGUUACAGAACAUUUUAGAGUAAGCAUCAGAAUUCCGAAUGAUGGAACUGCAGAUUGAGUAAACAUCCACUUAA